GGCAGAGGGGGCAAGCGUUGCUCGGAAUCACUGGGCGUAAAGCGCACGUAGGCGGAUUGCUAAGUCAGGGGUGAAAUCCUGGAGCUCAACUCCAGAACUGCCUUUGAUACUGGCGAUCUUGAGUCCGGGAGAGGUGAGUGGAACUGCGAGUGUAGAGGUGAAAUUCGUAGAUAUUCGCAAGAACACCAGUGGCGAAGGCGGCUCACUGGCCCGGUACUGACGCUGAGGUGCGAAAGCGUGGGGAGCAAACAGG
rnacentral:rRNA from 1 species